ACAAUGGAAGGGAACAAACAAAAUAUAAGGACUUCUUGGAUUUAGUUUAUUUGCUUGGUACCGAUGUUAGAAGUGAUGGAUAUUAGAUGGUAGUUGUGUUACGUUAUAUGUAGGUAGUAAUUAUUUUUCAGUUUAAUUUCAAUAUAUAUUCAUUUUCAUUUCAAGACAUUGUGGUAUCUUUCAUAAUUUUGAAAUAUUUUGGGUAUCACUGGUAUGCAUGUUGUAGUUGUGUAAGAGACUAAAUAGCUGAUGACUUGAGUGCAUGAUUGGCUAAUUUCAGUGUACUGCAGUUUAUCUAAAAAUCAUGUCAAAUGGUUUAGGGUUAUUUGGAGGAAAGUAGGAAGUGUCAGUAAUGUCUUAUGCUGCCAUUUAAACUCUUCUCUUGACUACCUUUUGGACAUAAUGGCAGAGUCAGAGCUUGAAGGGCAAUGGCAGAAAGCAGAAUCAAGACACUCCUGCCCAAAAGAAGAGAAAUGGAAUCCACAGUCAACCAGCUAAGCAAAACCAUACCUUGAAAUGUGAAAAAAAGCUUACUCCAAGAAAACUUCAAGAUAACUUUGAAACAGCAGAUGCAGCGUAUGAGAUUUGCUGUUCUGGUGAAGAUCUGCUGCAGGAACAUGUAGAGGGGCACUCUGUGGCAUGCAAUGGCAAUUACAAAUUUGCUUUCUCAUCUAGAGCUUUCUUGAGUUUCAAAUUUGACCACAAUGCCAUAAUGAAAUGUUUUGACCUCUGACAGCAAAUCUUCUACGAACAAAGUUCAGACUUGCCUGUUGCAAUUGAGGGGGUUUCUUAUCUAGCCUUACUCUUUCUCAGGAGUUUUUUAAUUACUGUUGUUGAAUUUUCGUUGUUGUUCAUUUGUUUUUGAAUGCAAUGCAGGGACUGACUGGUGGUUUGGAAGGGUUUGUUCUCUUCGCAGUUUCAGAGUGGCAUAGUCAAGUGUUGCACUUUAAAUGCAGUAUAGCCUUUGUCCACAGAAGUACCUUUCCAACCCUCAGUUUACUUGUUCCUAGCCAUGCAUUAGAGGGCAUUCUUUUCCUCAUUUUAUUGACUUGUGUUUUUUUCAGAUUGUCAUUGACAUUGACUUUUUUUUUUGUAUUGCUGGAGUUCACCAGCUCGUUAGACUUCUAACUGCGCUGAUGUAAAUUAUUGGACUUGUUAGUCAUUAUUUUAUAGUGCAUUGCAAUAUUAUGGCAGCGGCAAUGAAACUGGUUCUCAGAGGACUCCUCUGUCUGUCCUGGUAAUUUUGAAACCGGAAGUUGCACAUUUCAAACCUUGCCUCAGCCUAUUAUCCUUUCUUUUUCCUGAUUGUUUGCCCGCUGUAUCUUCCCUCCUUAACACUGAAAAUGAACUUCUGAUGGCUAGCAAUCAGUAGUACAUGGGUCAAAUUAUAGCAAUUUGACUUCUCAGGUACCUAACUCUGCUACUGCUUCUGGCAAGGACAUGCAGACUAGGUAGAACUUAGCUAUUCAGAGUGUCUAACUUCAACUCUUACCCAGACGGGAACAGCACAUAAAAAGAAGUAAAGAAGUUCUGUGUUAUCUCAUUUGUAGCUGCUUUCAAAAAAGAAAAUCUCAAAUUUGCUUGUGGGAGGUUUCUUGUAUAGAAUUUAUACUGAAUGUAAAUAAGCCUCUACAUCUUGCCAGGAGGAAAGAAGGUGCAUGGAUAAUAGAAUCAUUGUGUAACACUAAAUGAUUUAAUCAGGUUUGCAAUAACUAUUCUAAGGAUGUCCAAUAUUGUAUUCCGUGCUGUUGUUGUCAGUUCUUUCCUUUAGUUUAUGCUCUGUAUAUGUAUAUAUAUACAUAUAUAUAGUAGUAUUGAAUUGCACUUGCAGUUAGCAUUUUAAUGAUGUAGCCUCAGUCAUUUUCAGCUACAACAUUUUCUUAGUAAUAAUAUCAAAUGUACAAGAAAAAAAAAAAACAGUUGAGGUGAUGAACUGUUAAGUGUUAAAUCACUUUGAUUCAUGUUAGUGAUUUGAACACAAGCUUUGCAGUUGAGAGAAAUACACUGAACUUAUUUGAUACAGCAGCUUGUGUUAUCAGGCAUAUUGUUCCAGAUUUAAAAAUGGACUUCCAUCUAAAAUUAAGAUGUGUGAUUAGUAACUUUCACGCUGAAUGAUCUAGGCCCUCCUCUCUCACUCAGAGUGUAUGCUCAUGCACCGAGUCUUUAUGCAACUCAUGUGGCAUCCAAAAACACAAUCCUUGUCUUCCUUUAACUACCCUGCUUCAUUUAUUACCUAAUGUUUCUCCUCAGAAAUAGCUUUAGAAUUUGGCUUGUUUUAUCUGCCUAACGCCAGGUGAUUUGGGACUCCAGUGCUCUAAUACUUUUGGCAACAGGAACUGUGGAUUUUUCUAUCAGUUAACAGGAGAAACAGACUAUGGCAUUUCUUCCAUCUGGAGGACAGGAGUCCCAAAAGCCUUGUUUUUCAAGACCAAAUCAUGAAAUAACUCAAUCUAGCUUUGUCUCACCUUGUUUAAAAAUAAAAACAUAAAUAAAUCCAAAGGCUGUUCAAAACAUUAAGUUGAAAAGUACAGUAAGUUAAAAGGUGGGAUAAUGCUGGAGGAGAUUACUCAGCUUCAGGUAAAAGUAAUCCUUAGUUAUGUCUCUAGUGCAAGUAGUUGAUUUCCCAGCAAAAGUGCCUUUACUCAUGGUGAGGCAGAAGUUUGUAUUCAUAUCUGGAGGCUGCUGCUGCCUGUGGAGUUAGCAAGAUUCUCCUAGGGCAUGAUUCAGUGUCAGGCUGUGGAAAUCUGUAAAAUGUAGGUUGAUAUUUUUAAAAGUUAUAUUUCAUGUAGUGCUCUGUGAAAUAAGGGGAAUGUUGAUGAAACCAUGAAUUUUGAACUUCUGUCACAGACAGAGGAAGUCUUUAAAAUGAAGCAUGUCCUAUAAAUAGGAGUUGCUGGGUGCUUCCUCUUCACUGGAUCAUUUUUUUUGUUCCUAGUGAAAGCCUGGCUCAGUGUAAGAGAGGCUGAUUGCUUCAUUAAGCAGCCCAAAGUGGGGCUUAUACACAUUAAUGAUUUUAGUAAAUCUAGCCUUAAUGUGAGUUGCAAAUAAAUGUGAUAAAUAUGCAAUAACUUUUACUUCUUUGUAUAAGGGUACUGUUCCUUGUAUUAUUACUGCUUUCUGCUUCCGAAGUAAGGUUGCUAAAACGUGAGUGUGGUGGCAUGUGACCUAUGGUUUCCAUCAUGCCCUGCACUGUGAGCAUUUUGGAUUGUUUACUAUUAGUUCAUGUUCUUAUUUCACCAUCAUUUUAUAGUUAAAUAUAUUUCCAAGUUUAGAAGUAUACAGUUUACAUUCUUUUCUGUAAAACAGUGAAGAAAUAACAAGUGAGAGAUUUUAAUUCAGUUUUUAUUUUUGGGAGCUAGACACAGGGAGAUAAGUAACUGCAUGCCAGACUUAAGAGGUGAUGUCAGGAUGUUUGAUAAAAUAAGCCAGAAUGUUCCCCUGGAAGAGGGGUCAUUCAGAGUAUGAAAGGUCACUCCGUUUUCUUGAAAUUGAAGAAGGUAUGGAAUGUCCAAAUUAUAACACAAAAACAACAAAUGUUUGGGUACUACAUACUACUGCUUUGCUAUUUCUGGUACCACAUAAAUUCUCUGUCUUGGUGGAGUUUUAUGGCAUCUAUCCACCAUGCAGACUGCCUUGAAGACAGACUGAAGAAUGAUCUGCCAAAUCGAAUUAAAGAUGUUCUGUACUGUUGCAUUAACUUCAGCUCCUUGAUAUACAUGCAUGCUUCUGAAAAUACCUGUGUCUUCCAUAGUUUGAAGUCAGAAAAUGGUGGUAUUGAGAAAAGGGGAUAUAGCUUUAUUUACUGCACAAUCAAGGCUUUUUAAUUUUUUUUUUACACAACUUAAUUUUAGACCAAACCUGCGUAAGUAGUUUGUAACACAAUUUUGGGCCUGGUUCUUUUACCAGGCUUCUUUGCUGUGCUCCCACCUUCCAGAUCUAGUUUAGUGAACUGAGAACAAUGCUGAUUGUGUUUUGCCUUCACCUACUUGAGGCUGUUGUUUACGUAGCACUUACAUUUAUAAACAAGGCAGACUUUGAGUCGGGCUAUUCUAAUAGACUUGCUCUCAGAACACUGUUUUCCAGCUCUCUGUGUUUAUUGAUUUGCAGUGUGUAUCUGCACUCAUACCAUUCCAGUAUGACGAGCAAGAGUCUGCAUUUGGAAUCCAAGUUGUAAUGUCUUAGGGGUACAGAUGGCACUGCUAAUCCAUAGGUGACGUAGGUUAAUUCUCAACUUUUUUCCUUUUUUUGAAAGAAAUUUUAAGCAACAGACUUUUUUGGAAAUAAAAUCAUGUGCCUUCAUCUUUUAAAUUAGGAAGUUACAUUCUGAGAACUAGUAGAAUAGCCUCCCUUGUUGAUUUGAAAGCAGAUUAUUCACAGAAAAUUGAGCUUGCACUGUAACUGGUGAAGAAUCUGGUGCUUACAUGUGACUUCAUACAAAUUUCAGCUUGUUUUUGUUACUAAGAAAUUUCAGCUUUUGAAGCAACAAAAAUAAUUUAUGUGGUAAAUUUCUACAAACUGAAGGUGCUUUUACAGUAAAUUAGGCUUGGAAACAUCUCUAUUCUUGCAUAACAGAUUUUUGUUCUAAUGUGUUUAUAGUCUAGUUCAAGAAUGAAAGAAGUAGGUGAAGUAUGAGUAUCAGCACUGUUCUUAAUACUGUACAUAUGCACUGAUAGAUGCAGUAGGAUUUGUGCUGUGUGUGCAUUUAACUGUUUCAAGUAGGUUGUGAACUUACAAGCAAGACGACGUAGCAAUUACAUUGGCCAUGUUCAAGAUCAUGCAAGAUAAAAUUGCUUGGAUUAGUAGGAGUACAUUAAAAUCUAAUGCUUGGGUUCUAACCUGUCUUUUCAUUAAAAGUAUAAGGUUAAAAUAGACCAACUUACAGAUUCCAAUUUACUGGAACACUUACCUUUUAAUAGUUCUCAGCUGUGGAAUACUUCUUGGAAGAAAAUGUGUCUUCAGUACAUCUUUCAAAGUUGGGGGAGGGGGAGAAACAAGAAUACUUUUUUUUUCACAGGGUAGAAAAUGUUUAAAAUUUAUGGAGUUUUAUGGAAAAUACUUGAUCAGAAGAACUAACUUGCAAUUUCUUUCCAUUAUGGGUUAUACUUCAGUGCCCAGAAGAAGAUAAUUACAUCCCAUGGGGUGCUGAUUUUAAAACAGGCAUCCACAGCUUUUUAAGAAUACAGCACCUACAGACUCAGUUCUCUACAACACACUUUUCACUGAUAAAAGUUUACUUGCAACUUUUUUUAAGCAUGUUUGAAUAAAAUUAUUAAACUGGGGAGACAAACCAUUUAUUCUUACUGUUUGGGUGCAUAUUUCUGUUAUACAGGAAAAGUUUGUAAAAUUGCAUGAAUUUAACAGCUCUCGGUAAAUACUUCUCAAGCCAAUACUUAAGACAGAAUCCUCAAGGAAUUUUACCAUGUCUGCUGGGCACUGCAGUAUGUGGAAGCAGUACGUCAGCCUUGAGGACCAGUCCAUCCAGGUUUGCAAGAAACUUUAACAUAUGGAUAAAACAAACAAAAAACCCACGCAAAAAAGAAGCCACGACAAACAAGGCCACAAAAGUAAAAAACCACAACAGCAACAACAACAAAAAGAAGAAAAGAGACUCCACAGAGGAAAGAGGGGGUUUGUUUAUUAAUUCUGGUUUAAUGCUGAAUCCCUAUACAUGUUCUAGGACUUGGACUGACUCAGAUAUUGCUGCCUGAAAAAAAAUUUUCUGUGCAGUGUUGCAUGCCUUGCAGCAAAAUAGAGAGCCCGUGUUAUUCUGUGGCUCAUGCAUGAUGGUUUAUGUCUUCCUCCUGUUUCUUUAAAAAAAAGAACUUAAAUCUGUUUUCCUCACUGAUAUGGAAGUGGCAUAUCAGUGCUAAGUAGAAAGUACUUACAGCUAGUUGUGGGUUGAACCUAUGUAAAGUUACAGAUUUUAUUCAAUUUCCAAUAUGUUAUCUUGGAGAGGGUUUGUAUUGGUCAACUCUUUGAUUUUAGUAAAUAAAAUCUGUAACUAUCUGUAACAUCGGUUGUACUGAUGAUUGUGACUUUAGUUGUUAUUCAUGGAUUUAGAAACUGAAGCACACAAUUUAAAAAGCAAUGACUAAAUUGACAUUUUCUUCUAUAAUGUAAUUUCUCUCUAAAAUUAAAUGACUUUAUGUACAAUCUUA